UACGAAGGGGGCUAGCGUUGCUCGGAAUUACUGGGCGUAAAGGGCGCGUAGGCGGACGGUUAAGUCAGAGGUGAAAGCCCAGGGCUCAACCCUGGAAUGGCAAUGGAUACUGGCGAGCUAGAGUGUGUCAGAGGAUGGUGGAAUUCCCGGUGUAGCGGUGAAAUGCGUAGAGAUCGGGAGGAACACCGGUGGCGAAGGCGGUUCUCUGGGACGGUACUGACGCUGAGACGCGAAAGCGUGGGGAGCGAACAGG
rnacentral:rRNA from 1 species